ensembl:lncRNA
CUCUCUCUCUCUCUCUUGUUUAUGUGUUUUGUUUACCAGACACCACCGGAUCACGCUUAUGCCACUGAGAGGGAUACCGGCUUCUAUGUUUGUAACCAGUGUACGGCCACCGUUGACACAUCAGAUUUCCUAUCGUUGAUGACAUCCCACCCUAUCAUCCCUCUAUGGUUGUGGGGGGGCGGGGGACAUAGAGAGCAGCUCCAUACUUAUGCCUGGACCUCAUUUUCAAACCGCCGUAUAAGAGGUAGAACCCCCAUGCAGUUCUCUGCGGAGAAACUAACCCAUCCAGCUCGCUGAGGUGGGUACAAUGAAUUCAGGAAGACCAGUAAUCGUGUCCCAAAUUCAGCACACCUCCAUGCGAGACUGACCUAACCACCUCGUGCAGGAAUAUCCCUUUUAAUUGAGGCUAAAGCAGCUCCUGUGCCCAGCCGUCCGCCUGCUUGCUCAGUGCUUUUGAUGGCACACACACACAUCUUGACCGGUUAAACCAAAUAACAGCUAAAGCAGUGCGUGGAGUCUGUGGAGAAGCAAUUCCCUUUCUCUACCAACAACAUCUCUAAAGAAAACCUAAUGAUGCUGAAUGAAAGAGCCUGUCUGUCGUUCAGAGGGUUCGACAGCCAAGGAACAAGUCAUCAAACUGCUCCUCAACCGGGUCCACUAUAGAUUAUUCAACUUAAGUCUGUAUCUCGCUGUAUUACAUCCUGGAAUAAACCAUUUAUUCA